rnacentral:rRNA from 1 species
AUGGAGCAGCAGCCUGUGGCGGCGGCAGCGGCAGCGGAGCCGGAGGUACCGGCGGGGCUUGGGCUGACGGCCGCGGAGUACGCGCAGCUGCUGCCCACGGUGGAGGCGUACCACCGGUACGCCGUGGGGCCAGGCCAAUGCUCCUCCCUCGUCGCGCAGCGUAUCGAGGCGCCGCCAGCAGCCGUCUGGGCCAUCGUCCGCCGCUUCGACUGCCCCCAGGUGUACAAACACUUCAUCCGCAGCUGCGCGCUCCGCCCGGACCCCGAGGCCGGCGACGAGCUCCGCCCGGGCCGCCUCCGCGAGGUCAGCGUCAUCUCCGGCCUCCCCGCCAGCACCAGCACCGAGCGCCUCGACCUCCUCGACGACGCGCGCAGGGCCUUCGGCUUCACCAUCACCGGCGGCGAGCACCGCCUCCGCAACUACCGGUCCGUCACCACCGUCUCCGAACUCUCCCCGGCCGCGCCCGCUGAGAUCUGCACCGUCGUCCUCGAGUCAUACGUCGUCGACGUCCCCGACGGCAACAGCGAGGAGGACACGCGCCUCUUCGCGGACACUGUCGUCAGGCUCAACCUCCAGAAGCUCAAGUCCGUGGCCGAGGCCAACGCCGCCGCCGCGGCCACGACCGCGCCGCCGGCAGAAUAA